UGGGGAAUUUUGGACAAUGGGGGAAACCCUGAUCCAGCCAUCCCGCGUGUGCGAUGAAGGCCUUCGGGUUGUAAAGCACUUUUGGCAGGAAAGAAACGUCAUGGGUUAAUACCCCGUGAAACUGACGGUACCUGCAGAAUAAGCACCGGCUAACUACGUGCCAGCAGCCGCGGUAAUACGUAGGGUGCAAGCGUUAAUCGGAAUUACUGGGCGUAAAGCGUGCGCAGGCGGUUCGGAAAGAAAGAUGUGAAAUCCCAGAGCUCAACUUUGGAACUGCAUUAUUAACUACCGGGCUAGAGUGUGGCAGAGGGAGGUGGAAUUCCGCGUGUAGCAGUGAAAUGCGUAGAUAUGCGGAGGAACACCGAUGGCGAAGGCAGCCUCCUGGAAUAACGCUGACGCUCAUGCACGAAAGCGUGGGGAGCAAACAGG
rnacentral:rRNA from 1 species